GGAGGAAGCAGGGGAUCGCAAGACCUUGCGCUUUUGGAGCGGCCGAUGCCUGAUUAGCUUGUUGGUGAGGUAAAAGCUCACCAAGGCUCCGAUCAGUAGCUGGUCUGAGAGGACGACCAGCCACACUGGGACUGAGACACGGCCCAGACUCCUACGGGAGGCAGCAGUGGGGAAUUUUGGACAAUGGGGGCAACCCUGAUCCAGCCAUGCCGCGUGAGUGAAGAAGGCCUUCGGGUUGUAAAGCUCUUUCAGCCGGAACGAAACGGUCACGGUCAAUACCCGUGACUACUGACGGUACCGGAAGAAGAAGCACCGGCUAACUACGUGCCAGCAGCCGCGGUAAUACGUAGGGCGCGAGCGUUAAUCGGAAUUACUGGGCGUAAAGCGUGCGCAGGCGGUUUUGUAAGUCAGAUGUGAAAUCCCCGGGCUUAACCUGGGAACUGCGUUUGAAACUACAAAGCUAG
rnacentral:rRNA from 1 species